UACGGAGGGUGCGAGCGUUGUCCGGAAUCACUGGGCGUAAAGGGCGCGUAGGCGGCCUGAUAAGUAGGGGGCGAAAUCUUGCGGCUUAACCGCAAGGCUGCCUUCUAAACUGUCAGGCUCGAGCACAGUAGAGGCAGGUGGAAUUCCCGGUGUAGCGGUGGAAUGCGUAGAGAUCGGGAAGAACAUCAGUGGAGAAGGCGGCCUGCUGGGCUGUUGCUGACGCUGAGGCGCGACAGCGUGGGGAGCAAACAGG
rnacentral:rRNA from 1 species